rnacentral:sRNA from 1 species
UGCAGGCAAGAAGAUGGAACUGGAAAAUAUCAUCUGAAUGAGGACUGAAGUCAAGGACUGCUGUGGUUGAAUUAAGGAAAGGCUGGAAGAAGCUGAAGAGGUUGGCGACCCCAAAAGAAGACCAGAAGUCUCAACUCUCCCAGACUCCUGAGAUCUCUCAGACAUUGAGUCCCCAACCAGCAGCAUACAAGAACUGGUGGGAGGACCCUGACGCAUAUACAGCAGAGGACUGCCUGGUCUGGCCUCAGUGAGAGAAUCCUUGCCUAACCCUUUAGAGACUUGAGGACCCAGGAAGUGGGGAGACCUGGUCAGUGUCUUCGAGUAACUGUUGGUUGCCUUUGGUGGCCAGAUGAUGGUGUGAGAUCCCCUAAACUGGAUUUACUGACAUUUUGGUUCAGUGGUAGCUAUCAACACAGCAGAAUCCAAAAUCAGCUUGGAGGCAAGUCCUUCGGACAUCUCUGAGGGGUCAUCUUGUUGUUUGAAGAACCAUCUUAAUUGUAACUAAGAACAUCCCCUGGGUGGAAAAUCCUGUAUUGCAUAAAAUGAUGAAGGCAGGAGAAAUGACUUCAAUUCAACAUGAAAUUAAUCCCCCAGACCAUCAUUAGAGUGCAAAGGUGACCUGAGCAUCUGAGCCUUCAGGAAGACAUGCUUCAUGGAUCUCAAUUUGGAUUUCUGAACAGAGAAACAGGUAUCAUCAAUUACUGGUACUUGUAAUGCACAACAUUGCCAUGAAGAAAACGGAAUUAGCACAGAGCAUGCAGAGUACCUUCCAACUCCAUGAACAUUACAUGUGAAGCUUCAAGUUUGGUAUCUGCACAAUUUCUCAAUGGUUGAUGACAGAAGUAUCUCUGAUACGGAGUCUCAGUGUACUUUGUAGUGAGGUUGCAAAUUCAAGCACUAAUGCAAUGCUUCCUGUCAGCCUCCUGAGAAGAUCACACUGGAGACCACUACUCUGAUCUAUGAUAUAAACUGCAAGAACUUUCCUGAUGAGGAAUAGGACUCUGUGUUUAUACCCUUAACCAAUGCUGUAACUGUGAUCUAUGGCAAGGGAAGAACAAGAUCUCAGGACUGGUUCAUCACCUUACUAAGAUAUUCAAAAUUACAUAAUACUAGAAGAACUUUUUUUUCUUACAAUCUUAGAAUGUGGAGGGAAUCUUAUUUAACUAGUGUACAGUUGACAGAGGAUACCUAGGGAGUUUAUUCCCAUGCUGAGAUACCAAUUCCUUACUACUGUCCACAGCAUUCUUAGAUACUUCCUUUUCAAAGUGAGUCUAGCAGAGGCAAAAAGUUCGUAGUCGUUCAUACUGUAAUUUAGAAUUAUACAAAAAGUGUUUAUGCAUAGACAGUGGAUAGAAAGGCUCAAUUCUGCAACUCAUGUGUUAUCUUUGACUUUUUAAAAGGAGCUGUUCACUAGAGAGUAGCUGCAAGGAAUGGAAAAUUUGAUGAGCCACACUGAGGAAGACUGAGGAAGCGGAGAGCUGACAUCAAUUCACAUUAUGGUGUAAUCAUUUUUCUAUAAACGGAAAACCAGAAGUCUCAACUAUCCCGGACUCCUGAGAUCUCUUAGACAUUGAGCCCAACCAGCAUCAUAGAAGAAUUGGUGGGAGGACACUGACACAUAUACAACAGAGGACUUCCUGGGCUGGUCUCAGUCAAUGUCUUUGAAUAACUGUCCAUUGCAUUUGGUGGCCAGAUGAUGGUGUGAGAUCCCCUGAAACUGGAAUUAGUGAUAUUUGUGAGUUGCCUUGUGGGUUCAGGAGAGUUAACCUGGUUUCCCUGGAAGAUCAGACAGUCCUUUUUAUUACUGAGCCAUACCUCCAUUCCCUCUUCUUAAUUCUGUUUUUAAUUCUUCUCCCACGUAUUACAUCUCCAAAACAGAGCUUUUCAUCUCUCCUCUCCUCAGGGUCAGUCUUCCCCACCUGUAUCUCCCCCCAAGACCGUUCCUGUAUUAUUGUCAUGUGUCUCUAAUGUAGUAUCUUGUUUGUGGAGUUUUGUUAUUUGGUUACACUGUCAGUGCUAAAAAGAUUUGUUGUAAGAUUUAAAUUUGUGUUUUGUUUUUUAAAUAAUUUUAAAGGAAAUUUAUUGUGUUUGCAAAAUAUUGUCAAUAUUAAAAUAUGAACAUUCUCUAUGUUUAUUUUGUGGUUCAGUGGUAGCUAUCAACAUGGCAGAAUCUGAAAUCAACUUGGAGGCAAGUCCUUCGGACAUCUGUGAGGGGUCAUCUUGUUGUUUGAAGAACUAUCUUAAUUGUAGCUAAGAACAUCCCCUGGGUGGAAAAUCCUGUAUUGUAUAAAAUGAUGAAGGCAGGAGAAAUGGCUUCAAUUCAACAUGAAGUUAAUCCCCCAGACCAUCUUAAGAGUCCAAAGGUGACCUGACUAUCUGAGCCUUCAGGAAGACAUGCUUCAUGGAUCUUAAUUUGGAUUUCUGAACAGAGAAACAGGUCAUUGGUAGAUAAGUUAAACUUUCAAAAUCAGAGAGGAUCCUAUAAUUCUUAUCCAGUAUUGUAUAGGUAUCAAUUGCACAUAGCUUCUAAUUAGAGGUAGGACUCCAUUUCUGUUUCUCCUGUUUACCUCUGAGUCUUUUGUUCAGUUUGAACUCAGAAAUCUUGUGUAUGCUUGAAUAAUCGCUGUGAGUGGAAAUGUUUCUAGGUCCUGUUGUACAUGGAAGAGUCUUGUUCUUGAGAGUCAUCUAUCAUCUCUUGCUCCUAAAGUCUUUCUAAUUCCCCUCCCCAUAGAUUUGUGAUGCUUCAGGGGAAAGGUUCGAUGAAGAAAUCUUACUCAGGACAAGUGCUCCAAAGUCUCUCACUGUCUACAAUAUCCAGUUGCAGUUCUCCAAGCUAGUUCCCAUCUACUAGAGGAAGAAGCUCCUCUGAUGUGAGUUAAGUAAUGCACUGGUCUAUGGAUAUAACUAUGUAAUUUUGAGUCACUUCAUUGUAAUGUGACAUUUGCAGAAUUAUACUGGUUUUCUACUAGACCCAUUUUUGGGUUCUUGAGCACAUUAACAGUGUCUUGUAUGA